GUAAGAACCAGAACGCCAGCUGCCCCAGCGGCGCUCGCACCAUCCACCCUUGAAAUUGCCGUAGAAGAGUGAAACCUCUAACCAACGGAGGAAAAUUCUGGAAAGUGAAUACAUUGCUCUUUAUGUUUCCUAACCUGGGGAAACUACGUGGAGAGAGGCAGGGGGAGCAGCAGUCAGCUUCACGGCUCUGGCCAUAGUCCACCAAGUAGCCCAGUCACGGAUCGUUGGGCGGAUGAGCAGCUAGGCUUCAUCAACCUUGCUCCAGAGCAGGGUGUCCGCACUGAAGGAACAAGCCUCAAACUUGAAAGGAUCUCCUUCCCAGGAUAACUGAUUGGAAAGUGUUCAGACAAAAUGUACGAAAAUUAAAUUCGCCAACUGCCCAAGAUUACUCAUUCUUAUACUAUUUUAUUAAAGAUCAUUGCUGAUGAGAAUUAUACUGAUUCAAUAUUGAAUAAUAAUCAGAAAGGAUUCAGCAUAAGAUCUAUUCACAGCCACCAUAAAAGAGAAGAAAGUAAUAAAACACAGAAAAGGUCAAUACAGAUUAUACUUCAGCUAAAUUAUCCCAGUAAAGAGAAGAUUUCAGGCAAACACCUUCUCCAUGCUUUCAGAGAAAUUAAUGGGAAAAUGGACUGUUAAAAAAAAAAAAAGGAGCUCAAGGAAGUGAUAAUUACUCAAACACAUAACAAAUGAACUGACAGAACUCUGCAAAGAAUUUUUUUAAAGAAUCCACUGCAAAAAUUAAAAUUACCUUGGAAGCAGCAAGAAAUAGGAUACUGAUGG
rnacentral:lncRNA from 10 species